rnacentral:lncRNA from 10 species
UAUAAUAUGCGCUGUUUCCGAAGCUCAUCUGACUACAAACUGUGUUUUAAAGAAUGUCUGGCAAUGCAACAGAGCUUCUAUUUCCUGGCAGAUGGACCAUGAGCCUGGGCCAGAGAAUCUGGUGCUGAGCUGCUGCAGUCAGCUGAGCUGCUUACGUAACCUGAAGGCUCUCCUGGGAGGACCAUGCUGUGAAAGGCAGCUCUGGUUUGCUUCCCCUCAGAUAAUGUUUAUAUGGCCUUUUGGUCAGAGAAGAAGCAAAGAUAAUCCCCCUGACCCUCAGGUUGAGGAGACACAGAUCGGCCUUUGCUGAGGGUAGCACAGCAAAUGAGGAUGCAUCUCCCAGCAGGUGACGUGCCCGGUCCUGUGACUCAUGCCCUUUAUCCCAGUAAGUGAUCUGGCUCUGGUAAAGUGCCCUAGGGAGCCUUGCCUGGACAAGGAGCACCUCGUGAUAGUCUGCCCUGUGCAACCCGCUGCUGUUUCUGACGAGGUUAAGCUGGAUUCAAAUGCUAGGUGACAGGACCUUGCCUUGCACGAUGGUUUCUUACCCCACAAUAUUCAUCUCAGGGGUGAGCAGGCUAGCAACAUUCUUGGAUGACAUGGCCAUUCUGGUGAGAUGGUAAAUGCCUGGGGCCUGGACUCUGAAGAUCUUCACGAGGUCACUCCCGCAUGACUGUCCUGAAUAGGCAAAGCAGUCUGCCUGAUGUAGCCACCCCACUUUCUAGGGUCAAUGACCCAUCUGCGGCUCCCAGCCUGGGAGUCCUAGAUGCUUAGAUUAGGUUCUUUUUCUCUCUUAGGGUCAAAUGCAAACAAAAAUGCUGUGAGACGCAGGACAUCAGGGGCAUCCCAGGGCCUGAAUAUUCUUACUCUGACCAGAGCCGGCUCCGGGCAGCUGUCAGCCAUGCCUUAAAAAUCAGAAGUCUGCACACUUUUUCCGUAAAGGGCCAGGUAUUAAAUCUUUCAGGUUCAUGGGCCACAUGUGGUCUCAGAUGCAACUACCCAGCACUGCCAUUGUGGCAUGGAAGCAGCCAUAGAGACUUUGUAAAUGAAUGGGCACGGUGGCAUUCCAAUAAAACUUCAUUUACAAAAACAAGCCAUGGGCUGGAUUUGGACUAUGAGUUAUACUUUGCCAACACCUGGUUUAAAUUAAAUCUGAACUUCCCUCGGAG